AACUAACGCUGGCGGCGUGCCUAACACAUGCAAGUCGUACGAGAAAGUUGGCUUCGGCCGAUGAGUAAAGUGGCGCACGGGUGAGUAACGCGUGGAUAAUCUACCCCUCAGUUGGGAAUAACUCAUCGAAAGGUGGGCUAAUACCGAAUAAUACUGCAUGACUUCUGUUGUGUAGUCAAAGAUGGCCUCUGCUUGCAAGCUAUCGCUGAAGGAUGAGUCCGCGUACCAUUAGCUAGUUGGUAGGGUAAUGGCCUACCAAGGCAACGAUGGUUAGCUGGUCUGAGAGGAUGAUCAGCCACACUGGAACUGAGACACGGUCCAGACUCCUACGGGAGGCAGCAGUGAGGAAUAUUGCGCAAUGGGGGCAACCCUGACGCAGCAACACCGCGUGUGCGAAGAAGGCCUUCGGGUCGUAAAGCACUUUUGGUAAGGAAUAGGAAGGAAUGUACUUCCAGAAUAAGUACUCGGCUAACUACGUGCC
rnacentral:rRNA from 1 species